ensembl:snRNA U6 U6 spliceosomal RNA
GUGCUCACUUUGGCAGCACGUCCACUAAAAUUGGAACGAGACGGAGAUUAGCAUUGUCCCUGUGUAAGGAUGACACGAAAGUUCUGAAGUGUUCAAUUAAAAA